GAUGAACGCUGGCGGCGUGCCUAAUACAUGCAAGUCGAGCGAACGGACGAGAAGCUUGCUUCUCUGAUGUUAGCGGCGGACGGGUGAGUAACACGUGGAUAACCUACCUAUAAGACUGGGAUAACUUCGGGAAACCGGAGCUAAUACCGGAUAAUAUUUUGAACCGCAUGGUUCAAAAGUGAAAGACGGUCUUGCUGUCACUUAUAGAUGGAUCUGCGCUGCAUUAGCUAGUUGGUAAGGUAACGGCUUACCAAGGCAACGAUGCAUAGCCGACCUGAGAGGGUGAUCGGCCACACGGGAACUGAGACACGGUCCAGACUCCUACGGGAGGCAGCAGUAGGGAAUCUUCCGCAAUGGGCGAAAGCCUGACGGAGCAACGCCGCGUGAGUGAUGAAGGUCUUCGGAUCGUAAAACUCUGUUAUUAGGGAAGAACAUAUGUGUAAGUAACUGUGCACAUCUUGACGGUACCUAAUCAGAAAGCCACGGCUAACUACGUG
rnacentral:rRNA from 1 species